CCUACGGGAGGCAGCAGUGGGGAAUUGUUCGCAAUGGGCGCAAGCCUGACGACGCAACGCCGCGUGGAGGAUGAAGGUCUCCGGAUUGUAAACUCCUGUUGCCCGGGACGAAAAGCUCCGACCUAACACGUCGGAGUCUGACGGUACCGGGUGAGGAAGCCCCGGCUAACUCUGUGCCAGCAGCCGCGGUAAUACAGAGGGGGCUAGCGUUGUUCGGAAUUACUGGGCGUAAAGGGCGCGUAGGUGGCCUGUUAAGUCGAACGUGAAAUCCCCGGGCUCAACCCGGGAACUGCGUCCGAGACUGGCAGGCUCGAAUCCGGGAGAGGGAUGUGGAAUUCCAGGUGUAGCGGUGAAAUGCGUAGAUAUCUGGAGGAACACCGGUGGCGAAGGCGGCAUCCUGGACCGGUAUUGACGCUGAGGCGCGAAAGCCAGGGGAGCAAACGGGAUUAGAUACCCCGGUAGUCCUGGCCCUAAACGAUGAAUGCUUGGUGUGGCGGGUAUCGAUCCCUGCCGUGCCGAAGCUAACGCAUUAAGCAUUCCGCCUGGGGAGUACGGUCGCAAGGCUGAAACUUAAAGGAAUUGACGG
rnacentral:rRNA from 1 species